CGCGGGGAAGGGGCAGCCCGCAGUUGGCGCUGCAGGACUCUGCUUCUGUUUUCUCCAGGUGGACAUAGAAAUCAGAUUGGAAAGAAAGAUAGCAACAUGUAGAGGGCCUUCCCGGGUGUGAGGUGACAGCUGUGAAUCCUGCACGCUCCUACAAAACAAACAGGCAAGUCUCCUCUUCAUCUUGCAUUCCCCACCCCUGCAAAUCGUCUAACUUCUUCCUGAAUGAGUGAAUCAGCUAAGGGAUAUUUCUGACUUUGGCUUCUGUCUCUGCUGUUGAGGGCGACUGUGUGAGUGAAGAAGUGGGAGCAGGGACAGCCACAUGGGUCCUUUGUCUCCAGUUCUCUCUGCCUGGAUUUCCCUCCCCAACAAAGUUUGAUGCCAGGGGCACAUUCUGGGAUGGAGGAGCAAAGGAGGAAGCCAGUGGAUCUACCCUGGGUGCCUGAGCAUGUGCUUCAACUCCUCAGCGGGCCAGGACCACGCUAAUUCACACAAAGAUCAGAACAGGCCCUGUUCCAGGACCCUCCUGCCACAACUCCCAAGAGCUCCUAUCCGGGAGUACCACUGUUGGAUCCACCUUCUGCGUCCCAGCCCUCCCCAGCCUCUGGAAGCAGCCAGCUUAGCACGGUAGGCAUGUGGGUGGCGCCCCCAGCUCCGGGACUCCGUUUCUGGGGAAGUUCCCCGCGUCCUGCCUGGAGACUGGAAAGGAGCAGGGAAGUGACCAACACUAGAUUAGAGGCGGGAACUCCGGAUGAGAACAAGACGAG
rnacentral:lncRNA from 1 species